UGUGCCACCACGUCCAGCCAUAAACCCAAACUCUUAUUUCAAGUUAAAGACUUAAUUUUCCUGUAUCAAUGAUGCUACAGAAUUGUUCCCCGCCUGCUUUCAAUUUCCAAAUCUUUCCCAAGUGAGGGAGCCUCGUAGGAGAAGCAGGCAGGUUUGAGCACAACUUGCUGACUCCUCUCACAGCUGCAUUCUCCCUCUGGUUUCCCCUAAGCAUUCAGGGCAGCGGGGGUCGGGGGGGCAAUCUUAGCCGAGGCUCAUGACUUGUGAAAGAAGUUCCCUGACCCUUCCCCUCUCUCAUUAGCAACACCAGGACCACUCUCCCAAAGGAGUUUACAUUUUUGGUUUAUUCAUGGAGGGGGCACGAUGGGAUCCUGAACAGGAAGUGCUGGAAGAUUCGCUGCCCACUCAGUUAUGCUGUGAAUUUCCCGACAUGCUCUUUUUGCCAACAAAGAUUACUGAACCCUCCCCCUCCCAGGAUUCUGAGCAGACAGCCUCAGAACUGCAAACUUUUGAGUGUCCAGUUUACUACACGCCCGAGAGGUCAAGAAACACAAUUGGCUUACCAACACCUGUGCUAACAUCAGUGCAUUUACCCACGAAGAAACCUCCUAGUCACUGGAUCACCAUGCAGGUUGCACUGCUGUGUGAGAAGAAUGAAUGAAUAAACACCCACAGCAAACCAGUCUAAGUCUGGGCUCUUCCUACACAUCCAUGCAUGAGGACGGUCACACGCAGGUGCCUAGCCAAACCUAGCAGAUGUGUGGGAGACGUCAACAGGCAAGCAGUGGCUGUGCGGUCUUUCAUAGAUCACAGAGGCUUCUGCUAUGCAUAUAUAUUUGCUUCAAAGUGUUACAGAACCUAUAACAGUUUUAAGCACUUGGUGUUCUUAAAUAGCAAAGAGAAAACACGACCAGUUUUAGGAAUUCUAUCCCUACCCCUAGACCCUCAGAUUCCAUGGUUGGAAUUUUUUUAAGACAAGGUCUCCCUCUCUAGCCCAGGAUGGCCUCAAAUACAAAGAUCCUCCUGACCUGCUGCAGUGACAGGGGUGAGCCACCACUGAGUCAGGCUCUAGCAUCUUUGCUAAGUCAGUCCCUGGGUUCCUACAGUUCAGAAAGACUCAAAAAAGGAAAACAGGGAGGGGAGUGGUAUGGCAAAACAGACUUGGCCAUCUUGCUGUCGGCAAUCCCAAAGCUGUGGCAGAGAGAAAUGAGGCUCUAACAGCAACUCUUUAUUUUCAACUUUCUGUUUCCAACCAAAAUUUUAUUACAAAGCUUGCCAAACAUCAAAUUAAAAACAACUUGCACCUAAUAUCCAGAUACUGUGGCACUGCCUGCCCUUUCAGAACCAGGCAAAGAACCCCAAGUUUCCUUGUAAGCUUAUUAACACAGACCAUGUCGAUUGCAGUAGAAACGAAAGCAUGACAGAAAAACACCUGAACACCUUAGGACUAGUAAAACAGUGAAGGGUUAGAGACUGCAGAGUGCAGCACGUCACGAUCGGACGAGCACAGCCACUUUACACUCUAAGCUACGGAGCAGGAUGAUGUGAACAUUCUGCAUCUAGCUCACAUGUGAUAUGUGUAAUAGAAACCCAAAUGUACUCUAUAUACUGCAUCCUUAUGUUUACUCUGAGGACAAUGCAGCUUUGAAUAAAAAAAUCUAG
rnacentral:lncRNA from 1 species